UCCCUGUCUAGGCGGAUUUCCAUUCCUCUCCUCUCUGUGCGGUCACACACACCGUCCCGGUUUGAACCGCCGCUGCCGCCUCUUCUCAUCUCAUCGUCUCCUCUCGGCCGCCCGUCUCGCUCCUGUUUUUUUUCUUUGUGUGUGCGUUUAUGUGAGAGCUCUUUAUUUGUUUGUCUGAGGCCAUCGUGCAAUGCCAUUCCUCCCCCAGGACGCUGAGCGAUUCGAUGGGCUGUCUCUACUCUACUGGACGAUCAUGGGCCCACACGGCAUCAGCCGAGCCGUACAGAGACUGGAGUUCUGCGACUGCAAGAAGGGACUCGGUGUUAAAAUAAUUGGGGGCUACAGAGAGCUGACAGGAGAGGAGUUUGGUAUCUACAUAAAGCGAGUGAUCGCUGGUGGGCUGGCCGCUCUGGAUGGUCGGCUUAAGUCAGGUGACCUGAUUUUGGAUGUCAAUAACAUCAGCCUGAUAGGGGUGACCAAUGAGAGGGCGGUGGAGAUCUUAAGGACGGCCUCGGUCUCCAAUCACAUGUCCCUGCUGAUCGCCAGAGAUGAGGAAUCCAGGAGGGAGUUCGCUGAGCUGAUGGAGAAGUACAGCUCCAACCACAUCACGGCUUCAGGACGAAUCUCUCCCACGCAGCUGUCCACAGGGAAGCUGACGGACACGGCCUCCUCCUCCUCCUCCUCCCGGUCAGAGAGCCCCCAGCUCCUCAGUCCUAAAGAGGGGGUCACGGCCUACACCCACACCGCCCCUUACCCUGCUAACCCUGCCUACGCCAUGCACACACCUGUGCACGCCUUCAGUGACAGUGUCAUUCAGUUGAUAUGUGUCGCCAAGGGAACAGGCCUGGGGCUCAUCAUCAAGGGCGGAGCCAACCGCCCCGAAGGACCAAUGGUGUUCAUUCAGGAAAUCGCGCCUGGAGGAGACUGCCAGAAGGACGGCAGGCUGCAGGUUGGGGACCAGCUGGUGUCCAUUAACAAAGAGUCGCUGAUCGGGGUGACAUACGAGGAGGCCAGGGGCAUCCUGACACGCACCAAACUCAGACCUGACCCGACCGUGGAGAUUGCCUUCAUCAGGCGGAGGUCGUCCUCCAGCUCCAGCAGCGGGCCCCACAGCCCCAUCUCCCUGCAGGGGUCUGGUGGUGGGGGUGGACCCCAGAUAAGGGGCCCGGUCCUGGGCACCGUGCCUCAGCAGCCGGCCGUGGUUACCAAGAUCACCUCCAGCCGAAACCCCGCCAGCGAGACUCUGCCAUCAGUCAACGUCACCCAGGUGCGAGUGUCUCCGAGCAGAGCAGAGCAGACACGUGUGUCCUCGCCUCCGGAGAGUCACAGCCUGCCUGAGACGAACCUCGAGUCUCCGAGCAGUCAGCCUCCUCAGAGGAAGAGCUCCCUCAGCGACAGCUGCCGCCUCAAGAUAGAAAGGUUGGAGCAGGCUCUGGAGCUGAUUGGCCUGAAGCCCUCCGACACUCAGCGGCAGACGCUCCGGUCCAGACUGCGACCUGAUCCGGCUGGGACGGUGGCCUUCACAGACUUCGAGAGCCUGAUCAAGGAGCUGUUCAAGCCUCAGCUGGAGGAGCUGGGCGUCACGCAGCCCGGGUCUCGCUUCACGUCCGACGACCUGUUCAGCUUGCUGGAGUCGCCCAGCGACCCGAGGCCGUCACUGUCGGACUCAGAGGACCUGGAGGAGAUGGAGCGGCUCAGGAAGGAGCACAUCGAGGCUCUGAGGGAGAUCAAGAGGCUGCAGGAGCAGCUGGUCGAGUCUCAGAGAGUCCACCAUCAGAUGGAGGAGGAGCUCAGCAAGGUCAAACAGGAAGUGAAACACAGCGCGGAGGAGAGCCGAGCUCUGAGGACUCGAAUCCAGCUGGCUGAGGCAGCCCAGAAGCAGGCCAGAGGGAUGGAGAUGGACUACGAGGAGGUGAUCCACCUGCUGGAGGCUGAGAUCGCAGAGCUGAAGACUCAGAGGAUGGAGCACCAGGCACCAGCCAACAAGGAGGAGUCGGACGAGCUGAAGAAGAGAGCGGCCGUCCUGGAGUGUCAGCUGCGGAAGAGCGAGGCGGCCAAAAAGGGUUUCGAGAUGUCAACGGGAAAACUGCUGAGCUUUGUGGAGAAUGUUCAGGAGUUCCUACUCGAAAGUCACGGCCCCCCAAAGAGCUACAGCUCCGGAGACGUCAAAGUCGGGGUGUCGUCUCAAGGUCUCGCUGCCCGCUACAAGAAAAGCCCGUGGACGGCGGCCACACUCGCCCAGGAGGCGCAGGAGCUCACUCGGACUGUCAGAGCCAUCCUGGAUGUUGACUUGCUGAGCUUCUAGACGACCCGACUGUUGGAGAACAAAGUCGUCGAGAUGUCGGCCGGACUUCAGCAUCCAGCCGUGAUCCCCACCGCUCUCUCCCCAACGCCUCCUCAGCUCCUGCUGAAGGACUCGCCAUGUCAGAACUCUGCAUGAAAGCAUCUGCACACAGAACAGCAGCUUUAUUCCAGCGUUUUAACCUGCGUUCGCUGCAGGACGGGUCAGGUGUUUCACCUGGAAACACGACAGGAGAGAGUUUGGUGCAGGUUAACUCACUCGAUGAAGGCGUCUGUGAAGCUGAGCGGCUACAUGAAUGUUUUCAAGUUUGGCCAUCGAUGAGAGAAACGGCACCAAAACCCGCAGCUCCACAUUCACAAUCAAUUGUUGUUAAUUGCCUGAAGAGAAAGUUUUCAUAUUGUUCAUAUUCGUAAUAGAACUCAGCUUUAUUUAAACAUCAUUACUUUUCUUUGUCAAAGUGCUAAUUUAUGUUUGUAACCAUUUUCAGCCCUCAGUGUUAGCAUUAUCAGCUAAUUAGUGCUGAGGAACAUCCGAAUAAAAGCCUAGAAUUUCAAAAACCAACAUUUAAAGGUCGGCUCUGCGGCGCUUUUUCAGAUUCUUCACAAAAUUUUAACGCAUAAAAGAAACGUGAACGUUAAUAAACAGCCGAUGCAGGUUCAACGUGACAUUUUCAGGUGGACGAAUACGAAAAUCCACAGAAUUAAAAUGUAUAAUAAAUGUUUUUUUAAACAUAUAGAUGUUAAUAAUCACUGUAUGAUGAUGAUGAUGCAAAGUUCAUAUUGGUCUAUCCAUUAAAUACAGGCGGCAUGCAGACACACAGCAGCUUUGUUAUUGGUCAGUUAGACGUUAUUUCUUAUCUUUCCAUCAUUUCCUGUUAUAAUGGCACCAGAACUCACGAUUAACCUGGUGGGUGGAUAAAACAUUCAUGUAGUCCUUUGACUCCUGCCCUGCCUCUGUCUCAAUAAAUAUCUUCAUUUAACAAACAGUAUAAACAAUGUAAACUUACACAUUACAGUAUCAUAAGGUUGCCAUGUGCAGUAGCUGCCGCUCCGCCACGAGCGAGCUCACACAGCUUAGAUAACUUACUGUAGUUUCUGUCUCAUAGCUCAGUGUUUAGUGUCUGAGUGGCUGAACGCUCGUGUUUGUGCAGUAGAUUAGCCAGCGAAGCAUCAUCGAACAGUACAGGAGGAGAAACCUGCACGCCGCCCCGCACGCGAACGCCAUGUCAGGAAGGACGAUGGUCGCGUUAAAACGGGAACUCUGGGAUUAAAGAGGCCUUCAGGGGCUUUGAUGGCGUUUGGAGGUUUUGCUGUUUGUGUUUUCGGAACAAGCUGCAGAUCCCGCGGCGUUCUCUGGGAAAAAGGAUCAGCCGCUCUCAACCGUACGGUCGUGACUUUUCUCUGAACAGCUGGGCUGCGACUGAGAUUUUUAAAAAGGAAUAAUUUUUCAUGUGAAAUUGUCUGAGACGUAAAGACUGACAGAAGUUUUAGAUUAAGGGUAAAAGAUGUUUAAAAAAUCCCACAUUAAAAUCUCUGAAAACGACCGAACUGUUGUUGAAUAUUUUGUGCUUCCAUUAUCUCAAAUAUUUCCAACAACAUUUGAAUUCUUCUUCAUCUUGGAUGCAUUUCAAUAGCAUCACAUCAUCUUCACUCAGGCCGGCCACCACGCUGACGCAGUAAACCACAGAGGGACAGAAAGACCAGAGGAGACUCAAAAUGAUCCCAAAUACAUAAAAAUCAAAGACUAAGAGACUCAAAUGACACGAGGGCUUUGAUUCAGUCAGUCUAUUUGGAGGAAACGAACACAGAACACACUCUGUCAGGUAACUCUCCAAGCGUCCUUGAAUGCACCACCAGGAAGUGUUUGUCAGGGGAACAAGGAUGUAGUUCCCAAAGGUGUUUCCAGGUGAUACUCGCAGAGAAGGAAGGAGAAGCCUCAGGUACGCUGUGCUGCCCAGGAGAAUGACAGGUAUUCAGGAAAUACACGGAGGUCUUCCCUAUGGCUGGGAGGAAGCUUACACUGCAGACGGAGUGAAAUACUACAUCAAUCACGUGACCCAGACGACCUCAUGGAGCCCUCCCGGGUCGAGCGGCGGCGCCCCGGAGCUGACGCCUCCACCUCAGGAGACUUCAGAGGUGGGGGAAGGGUGUGAUGGAGAGGCGGUGAAGCAGAGACAGAACCCGACCGCAGAGAUGAAG